AAGUUGGGGAGGAAGGCGAGACGGCGAGGAGCGGAGGGGCUGUGGGAGCAGCUCGUUCCGGAGCCGCCGCCUCUCUCCCGCCUCCUCCGCAUCCAUCCUUCCAGGAGCGCGGAGGGAAUGCAGAGAGCAACCAAUGUCACCUACCAAGCCCAUCAUGUCAGCAGGAACAAGAGAGGUCAGGUGGUGGGGACCAGAGGUGGCUUUCGUGGUUGCACAGUUUGGCUAACAGGCUUGUCUGGAGCGGGAAAGACUACUGUGAGCAUGGCCUUGGAGGAGUACCUGGUUUGUCAUGGUAUUCCAUGCUACACUCUGGAUGGUGACAAUAUUCGUCAAGGUCUCAAUAAAAAUCUUGGCUUUAGUCCUGAAGACAGAGAAGAGAAUGUUCGACGCAUCGCAGAAGUUGCUAAACUGUUUGCAGAUGCUGGCUUAGUGUGCAUCACAAGUUUCAUAUCACCUUACACUCAGG
rnacentral:sRNA from 1 species